AGAGUUUGAUCAUGGCUCAGAUUGAACGCUGGCGGCAUGCCUUACACAUGCAAGUCGACCGGCAGCGCGGGAGCAAUCCUGGCGGCGAGUGGCGAACGGGUGAGUAAUAUAUCGGAACGUGCCCUGUAGCGGGGGAUAACCUAUCGAAAGAUGGACUAAUACCGCAUACGCUCUACGGAGGAAAGCGGGGGUCGCAAGACCUCGCACUAUAGGAGCGGCCGAUAUCGGAUUAGCUAGUUGGCGGGGUAAAAGCCCACCAAGGCGACGAUCCGUAGCUGGUCUGAGAGGAUGAUCAGCCACACUGGAACUGAGACACGGUCCAGACUCCUACGGGAGGCAGCAGUGGGGAAUUUUGGACAAUGGGCGCAAGCCUGAUCCAGCCAUGCCGCGUGAGUGAAGAAGGCCUUCGGGUUGUAAAGCUCUUUCGGCAGGAACGAAAUGGUUCGUGCUAAUACCACGGACUGAUGACGGUACCUGAAGAAGAAGCACCGGCUAACUACGUGCCAGCAGCCGCGGUAAUACGUAGGGUGCAGGCGUUAAUCGGAAUUACUGGGCGUAAAGCGUGCGCAGGCGGUUUCUUAAGUCAGAUGUGAAAGCCCCGGGCUUAACCUGGGAACUGCGUUUGAAACUGGGAGACUUGAGUGUGGCAGAGGGGGGUGGAAUUCCACGUGUAGCAGUGAAAUGCGUAGAUAUGUGGAGGAACACCGAUGGCGAAGGCAGCCCCCUGGGUUAACACUGACGCUCAUGCACGAAAGCGUGGGGAGCAAACAGGAUUAGAUACCCUAGUAGUCC
rnacentral:rRNA from 1 species